rnacentral:rRNA from 1 species
UACGUAGGGACCGAGCGUUGUCCGGAAUCAUUGGGCGUAAAGAGCGUGUAGGCGGCUAUUUAAGUCCUGCGUGAAAUCCUGCGGCUCAACCGCAGACGGUCGUGGGAAACUGGAUGGCUAGAGUGCGGGAGAGGAGAGUGGAAUUCCCGGUGUAGCGGUGAAAUGCGCAGAUAUCGGGAAGAACACCCGUGGCGAAGGCGGUUGCCUGGAGCUUUGCUGACGCUGAGGCGCGAAAGCGUGGGGAGCGAUCCGG